UUGAUCCUGCCAGUAGUCAUAUGCUUGUCUCAAAGAUUAAGCCAUGCAUGUCUAAGUCCAAGCUGUGUUUACACGGCGAGACCGCGGACGGCUCAUUAAAUCAGUCGUGGUCUACAUGGGCCAGUGCAAAUCCUACUUGGAUAACUGUGGUAAUUCCAGAGCUAAUACAUGCAACUGAUAUCCCGAAGGCUGGUGCUUGCUUGUCUUGCACUUUGCUCUGACGGAUGCUUUUAUUAGACCAAGCCGCUGAGGACUUGAUUGCUCACGCUUUCUUGUUCGACUCGUGUGAUGGUGACUCUGGAUAACCAAUUCUGACAAGCGAACGUACUCCUCUUUGAGCGAGACGGCGCUGCCACUUUCGAGUGUCUGCCUUAUCAGCUAUCAACCGUUCGUUAUGCGCGACCGAUGGCUUUGACGGGUAACGGGGAAUCAGGGUUCGAUUCCGGAGAGGCAGCCUGAGAGACGGCUACCACGUCCAAGKACGGCAGCAGGCACGCAAAUUACCCAAUCCCAGCAAAUGGGGGAGGUAGUGACGAAAUCUAACGAUGCGGGCGCCCUUUCUGGGGCCCCGCAAUCGGAAUGGGCACUUUCUAAAACACCUGUUGAGAACCUACUGAAGGGCAAGUCUGGUGCCAGCAGCCGCGGUAAUUCCAGCUUCAGCAGCAUCUAUUAAAGUUGCUGCRGUUAAAARGCUCGYAGUUGAAUGUCUGUAUCGAGCGCAGGUAGGUGGACGUU
rnacentral:rRNA from 1 species